GAAGAUAACCAUUACAUGUAGGUCUAAAUUCGUGGUACUUCACCUAUAACUGGUGACCUCUCAAUAUGAGUGAAAAAUUCUCGACAAGACGUAAGUAAAUCAAUCAAUCAUAUGGAAACGUCACCAUUGCCGAAGCAAAAUGUAGGCCUAUGCUCGGCGCUUACGGCCCAUGACACCAUGUACAAUGCCACAUGCGGGGACCGUGAUCAGUGUAGCGCGGGGUUGUGAUUUUGAAGCGACGAAAGUAGGACGAGAAAUGGAUAGCAGUUUCAUUGACCACAUAGAAGAAGUGGAUUCUCAAUCAACCCAGCACGUAUAUAUAUGUGGUGUAUGCGGGAAGCAUUAUUCGACAAAAUCAAACCUUGCACGUCACCUAGAGUCGCAUGCGGCGACAUCAAAUGAACAUUCUUGUGAACACUGGUAGAACGUUUACAUGCAAAUACAAUUUGGCGAGACACAAAAAGAUUCAUGAUACACGCACUACUCGUUUGCUUUGUCCACAUUGUGGAGAAAAGUAGCAUUCCAAAGAGUCGUUAGAUUCACAUAUCAGAUUUAAACAUAAAGAAUUGGGGAAAAUAUGCGAAUCUUGUGAAAAAAGAUUCAAAGACAGUUAUGCUCUUAGGAGACACCUUAAAUAACAUUAAAGCACAUGCACAAACGAAAUGUGUUCAAAAUGUUAUGGGGUUUUCAAACAGUUGAAAAAUCACUUGCCUAACUGUAGGGUAGAGAAAGUGAAAAGAUUUAAAUGCGACACAUGCAAUACAUAUUUCUCGGAGAUGCGCAUGUGCUUGUGGGAAAGACUUUGCCUACCAAUUUUCCCUGAACAGGCAUUCCAAAAUGUUUAAAUAUGUUCAAUCCCAGUGAAUUGCAUUGAAAGACGUUUAUACGAGAUAUUUCAAAGCUUUUUGAACAUAACGAGUUAUUCCCUGUAAUAAUGACAUGUUUGUUAUAUUUCAUUUGUUAUGUCAAAGGAGAUGUGUUUUAUCAGUCACUUCUGUUAUCAAUGCUUUUUAAUUUGAAUUUGUGAUUCCAUCUCAAGAUGUUAAUUAGCGUGAUUCUAUACAUGUUACGUUACAUAUAUCACUUCAUAUGCAUAGUCCGUGACACGAACAGUUUUAUAAAUAUGUGAUCUAACUCCAGACAGGAAAAUCCAUAUUCAUUUUACGAGAAUUACAGGGAAACGGGUUCAAAUACUUCAAUUUCAGGAACGUUUGCAACGAAAGUCUAGUGAGUGAACCAAUAACUCUAGUCAUUAAAUAGUUGUUUGUUUUUUUCUUUUGUACAUUAAUAAAAUUGUUGUUUUUAAAGAUA